rnacentral:rRNA from 1 species
GCCCCGUAAUCGGAAUGAGUACACUUUAAAUCCUUUAACAAGGAUCCAUUGGAGGGCAAGUCUGGUGCCAGCAGCCGCGGUAAUUCCAGCUCCAAUAGCGUAUAUUAAAGUUGUUGCGGUUAAAAAGCUCGUAGUUGGUUCUGCGUGCCGCGCUGUCGGUUCGCCGCCUGUCGGUGUAACUGGCAUGUCGCGGCAUGUCCUGUCGGUGGUGAACGGAGUCCACAAUGCUACAUAGGCUUUAUUGCCGAUGUUAGCGUCGUGUGUACUUCCGUUGGCCGAUCUCUCCUACUUCGGUGCUCUUAAACGAGUGUCGAGGUAGGAGAGAUGUUCACUUUGAACAAAUUAGAGUGCUUAAAGCAGGCUGAAAUAUCUGCCUGAAUAGUGGUGCAUGGAAUGAUAAAACAGGACCUCGGUUCUAUUUUGUUGGUUUUAGGAAUAUGAGGUAAUGAUCAAUGUGGACUGGCGGGGGCAUUCGUAUUGCGACGUUAGAGGUGAAAUUCUUGGAUCGUCGCAAGACGCACUAGAGCGAAAGCAUUUGCCAAGUAUGUCUUAAUUGAUCAAGAACGAAAGUUAGAGGUUCGAAGGCGAUCAGAUACCGCCCUAGUUCUAACCAUAAACGAUGCCAGCCAGCGAUCCGCCGAUGUUCCUUUAAUGACUCGGCGGGGAGCUUCCACCCGGGAAACCAAAGCUUUUGGGUUCCGGGGGAAGUAUGGUUGCAAAGCUGAAACUUAAAGGA